AUGAAGUUUGUUGUCGCUUUCGGUGCAGGUAGAUUGUUAUCCCCUAUCUUCCACAGAAAAGUCCAGGGAAAUUUCCGUAGACUUCUUCUUUUCCGGUGGGGAAUUAUGGCAGAUUUAUUUUUUUGCGAGGUAUGGCAGAUUUCUUUGACAUAUGGCAGGAAACACUUGCAAAGAAGUCGCUGCCUGGUCGAUUCAUCCAUGUAG
rnacentral:rRNA from 1 species